GUUUGGUGUGGUUUUUGGCAGAGUCAGCCUGAGGAUUUUUUUGGGCAGGCCUGCAAAACAGUUUUUCCCUGCCUCCACCCAAACGUGAGCAGGUCCUGUCUGCCACUGUCAUACUGCUGUGCAGGGUCAGCCUGGCUGUUUUGGACAAAAUUAGUCAGAGGGGCCUCUGGAAAAAAGCCCAAAGAAGGCUGAUUCAUUUUCCAUAAAGUAUUUGUAUUAAGGACACAGUAGGAAGAUGAAUUCUUCAGCAUCACACCCAGCCGCUGCUGUAGCUGCUUUUCCCAUCGUGCAGUAAUAUCCCCAGGGACCACUGCAUGAUCACUGUGUGCUUUCUUGCUGGAGAGGCAGCUCGAGGAGGCUGCAAACAGCAGCAAAGGCAGAUCCCGACAGGAACGGGGAGCCCCUGCAGAACCAGCAGUACCCAGCAGCAGUCCACCAAUAAAGCAUUUCUGCAGACACCUCAUUUUUCUGGUUUGGUUUCUGUUUCUUUGCUGUGAGCGUCUGUUAGGUUUGCAGAGGAAGCUGCUGAGAUGUGAGCCAGGGCAGCCCCCGGUGCUGGCCUGUCUCUGCAGCCUGAAAGCCCGGGUCAUGGCAGGGGUGGCUCCCACUCUCCCCAUGCGUGGCAGCUCAGCCGCCCAGUGCUAUGCUGCCAGCUUGCACCAGAGCAGGUAGUGUGCUUAACACUGCCGUCGGGGUGACCUGACUUCGAGCCAUCCUGGUUUUAUUCUUCUCUUCAUGAAACGAGUGGGUCCUUGGAAGAGGCCUGACAUCCCGCAGGACAAGUCUGGGUCUCACUGCCCGAGAGCUAUGGAUGACUGCUAGCGUGUCAUGUCAAGCAUCUUGAAAGGAAAGAAAGAAGAGAUUCAAGAUGCCAACAUCUUCAACUCCUUUAUAGGGUCUCUGAUAUUUGCUCCCUGACCUGUGUUCCUUAAAAAACAGCUCCCCAUUCCCGUGAUUUAAUGCACGUGCCAAAACAAGCUGCCAGUUACACUGGUCUUAAUGCAAGGUGGUUCCAAAGACACUGCCUGCCAGCAGAAUCUGGCCCUCCAUAGCAAAGAGGUUGCUGUGCAAACUCAGAGAUGAGCAGUACUGCCUGACUUAUGAUAUCUCAGCCAUUUCAUCCAUCUUGCUCCCUCACUCCAGAGCAGGAGCACACCUUUGCAAGCCACAGGUCACUGCAGCAAGGUCCACACACAUGCCAGUUGUUGGGAUUCAG